UUUACUUGUUCUUUUGAAUCCUAGACUUUAGCAUGCUGACAUUUAUAUAUUUUUUUUCUUUUGUGUUCUUUAGUAUAUGCCAUCUAUUGGGAAUUUUAUUGUUGUUCUCUUUCCCUCUGCGUAUGUAGUUAGUUUCCUAUUAUGGGAAUUUAUUUUGUUGGUUUUGAUUUCUGUGUUUGAUUUUGGCUUUUUGGUUCUUUGAGUCGGAAGAUUGAUGGCCUUUUAUGGGCUAGUUUGAUUUAUAUUGGCAUUUGAUUAUACAUGAUUGGAAAAUGGUUUAAUAUGUAUAGAUUCUCCAAGACUAGAAACUUUAUCCUUGAUGUUUCAAGUUACUGAAUGAUGAACUUGGCUGUCUUGAAACUACAACCUACACAUGAGUGACCUUCGAUACCAUAAACAUGUUUUCGGUUAUCAGUUCAGUGUCUUCUCAUGUGAUCAUUGGUAGAAGCAAUUCCUUGUAGGAUUAGAUAGUUUAGGUUAGAUAACCCGACCUAUAUUGAAUUGCUUGCUCUAUUUAUUGUGUUUUGGUUUCAAUGGUCAAUAUUCUGGGCUUAUUAAACUCUAAAAAUGCGUGUCACCAGUCAUCCUCAUGAAAACAUGCCUCAAAAACACUCUUUGCUUCUGCUGUUAUGCUUGUGCUGCCUUACACUCAAAUAUUUAUGUUACCAAUCUUAGCUGGUCCAGUCACCUUUUCUUCCAUGAUCUUUUGCAUAUUGUGUAACGUUAAUACAUCCUUCCUUAUCCUGCAUUGCUUUUACACUGUUAAAUAGCGGGUAGUAGCUAUCCCUGAAGUUUUCUGGCGAACUUUAGAGUCAUAAAAACCCUGGCUAAAGACUUCCUGAUUCUGAAAUUUGCUGCCUUGCGUUGGAGGGCACCUAUUGAUAUAAUUAAUAAUUACGACCUUUUUUAGGUAAAAUAAUGUGAAUUUGCAUUUAAUUAAAUUGUUUAUUUACCAUAGAAUCUUUUUUUCGCAAGCCCCAUGAUAUAUAUUUUCAUUUCUCAUUAUUUUCUUCUAAGAUCUUUUUAUCAUAAUACUAAAUCUACAGUUAAUGGCUCUCUACCAUCUUAAAAGUUGAAUUAUAGUCUAAAUCACCAUUUUUUUCCCUUUAAUUUCUUCGGUUAAUAAUUAGUACGGUAAACGUGGACCAAUUGCCAUCUUUAAAAUUAGUUGAAAUGACUCUUGAAACCCACAAAAAAGCUGGUACACUUCUCAAAUUUUUAUUUUUAUUUUGGUGGAAAACAUUUCUCAAAAUUUUAACCACGGUGUGACAAGAGAUAUGUAUUUCUUCUUAACUUGGCGAGCUAUACAGACUUCGCCAAUACAAAUUAGUCACGCUUCAUAAUUGUGAAUCGGUAAGCAACUCACCAUUUUUCUAUAUAAAAAAACAUUUGGGCAAAUCAAAUUUAUUAUACAUUUUCAUGACAAGUCUCGCCAGCUGUUAUCAAUUUUAUUAUGUGCAUGCCUCGCCAUUUUCUUUUUAUUUUGGUAUAUAUCAUUAAAGCUUGGCAGUAUACAUACUAUUGGUGCUUAUAAUUUGCUCAUAUCGUUGGCUGUCAUUAGUGAUACCGUAACUGCAUAUUUGUUUUAUUUUCUCCUUAAUCCUCAAGUCAUGCUCUAAGAAAUACACUCAAUUGAAGUUUGGAGCAACUCUAUCCUCUUUUAGUUCUCUGAUCUUAUGAAUGUGCAGAGCAUGUUUGUAAUGUCUCUGUCAUAGUGGCUUCAUCAUAUGAUAUUAAUUACUAUGUUACACAUUGAUGGUUAGAAAGCUGUAAUUAAUUAUUUUUUAUUCAAUUUGAUGGCUCGGAAUAAAUUGUUUGUGGUGACGCAUGCAUAUUCACAUAACAGAUGAUGUGAUUGUUAUACAUAGCUACUACAUGAGUUGAGACCUGAUGAGAGUAAGUUGGAGAAUAGCCUGUGUUAUCCAAAAAUUAGUAUUUUGUUCUAACAAUCACUCUUUUGCAUGCUAACUCAGCAUAUUACAGUGACAUCUGUGUCGGAUCAAUUGCUUGCCGGCUGGAAAAGAAGGAAGGUGGGGCUAUCCAUUUGUACAUCAUGACAUUGGGGUUAUCCAUUUGCCAGCAUAUUACCCUAGACUUCUGUGAUGAGUUAAAUGGAUUUAACUCAAUUGAAUAAUGAUUAAUUCACUUGUUUUAAGUGUUUUUUUUUCAUUUUAUAUUUUUUAUAUAAAAAAUAUAUAUACUUAAAUCACAAAAUGAUAACUAAACUAUACUUAUUUUCCCAAAUUGAUAUUUAAACUUUUUUGUUGUCAUAAGUGGUACUUAAACUAUACCACUUACCCAUUUUAUCUCUGUUGUUAAAGAAAUUCCCUUAACCAAUCAUUUUGUGGCACGAUAUAAUUUUUAACCAAUCUUUUUGCACCGG
rnacentral:lncRNA from 1 species